rnacentral:ncRNA from 1 species
UAACUGAAUACAACACAUUUGAAAUGAUAUUAUCUUCAAUAUUUUUGCACCCUUUUGAUGAAUAAUUGUUCAGGGAAAAUGUAUAAACACAUUAUGGUCACAAAGUAAAUCCGUUAUUCUAUGUAUCCAAACUCUAUUUAUCAAUUUGUGCAUGAAACUCACAUUGGUUAAUGACCUAUGCAUUGUACUGAAGGUAUAUAUUGUGGUAUCUUAUUUUAAUUCUCUAGUUGAGUUGAGUCGAGCAAUCAUUGUUUUGUAGUUCAAAAAUGUGCAUUAGCCAGAGAACAACCACGAUAUCUUAAUUCGCUCCCGGCAUCAGGGUUCGAUUCCGGAGAGGGAGCCUGAGGAACAGCUACCACAUCCAAGGAAGGCAGCAGGCACGCAAAUUACCCAUUCUCAGAACAAGGAGGUAGUGACGAAAAAUAACAAUACGAGACUCUUCUGAGGCCCCGUAAUUGGAAUGAGUACACUUUAAAUCCUUUAACGAGAAUCCAUUGGAGGGCAAGUCUGGUGUCAGCAGCCGCAAUAAUUCCAGCUCCAACAGCGUAUAUUAAAGUUGUUGCGGUUAAAAAGCUCGUGGUUGGAUUUUGAUGCCGGACCGGCAAUCCGCCCUUUGUUAGGCGGUCUCACUGUCGCAAUCCGGGGCCAAACCAGCCGGCCAUCUCUUGAUGCUCAUCA